UAUUAAUCGAUACUUUGGGCUAUAUUUUUGCAGUAGGAAGGUUUGCAUUGAAAAAUUAAUGUUUCUCAGAACUGUCACAUAGAUUAAAAGCAGUUUUUGUCUUCAUACAUUCAAUAUCACAUUAUACAAGUACGUGUGAUUUACAUCAAGCAUGAUGAUGCAGGAUAAGCCUAAGGUAGUUCUCCUGGCAUGUGGUUCUUUCAAUCCAAUCACAAAUAUGCACCUACGAAUGUUUGAGUUAGCACGUGACUAUCUACAUAGUACGAAAAGAUACCAGGUUAUUGGUGGGAUUAUUUCUCCUGUAAGUGAUGGAUAUGGCAAGAAAGGAUUGCUGACUGCAAAGCAUAGAUGUGAAAUGUUACAACGAGCACUUCAAACAAGUGAUUGGAUCAGAUUGGACACUUGGGAAAGUGAUCAAACAACAUGGACAGAAACACGUAAAGUUUUACAACAUCAUCAAAAUCUGUUUGAUUCAAUCGUGAAUGGUAACAAAUCUUCAUCAAAUCUAAGAAAAAAGCAAAAGCUGGAUUAUGAUAAGAUAAAUGCUAACACAAUUGGAGCCAAAGUUUCUUCACCAACUUGGGAUCUAAGCCAGCCUGUUCAAGUAAAACUUCUCUGUGGUGCAGAUUUGUUGGAAUCUUUUGGAGUGCCAAAGUUGUGGAAGGAUGAAGAUAUUGCUGACAUUGUUGGCAACUUUGGAUUAGUGGUCAUCACAAGAAAAGGAUCCAACCCCCAGAGAUUUAUCUAUGAAUCUGAUGUGCUCACCAAGUAUCAAUGGAACAUUCACCUUGUGACUGAAUGGAUUACCAAUGAUAUUAGCUCUACUAAGAUAAGAGAAGGGCGAGCUCUAAGGAGAGGAGAAAGUGUCAGAUAUCUUUUACAAGAUGCUGUAAUUCAGUACAUUAAGGAUCAAAAGCUUUAUCAAGAUCCUCAUAAGGAUGAUCCUACCCAUGCUGUAGCUGAGAUCUUGUACAUGAUGGGCCGAGUUCUAGGCUGCGUUUACAAAAAUAGUAGAAACUUGGAGUUAACAGGAAAUGUGUAAAAAUGUCAAAGAUGCCAUGGAGACAUUGAAAGAAUAAAGUAUAAAGUUUUGACUAAGAAUGAUAAUUCUACUGCAUGUGGAGCAGCUUAUUGGUAGGAGUCAUCGAUGGAGAAGUCACAGUAAUAUUCAUAGAUUUAAUAUUAAACUUUGUAAGAUCAAAUCCAUAAUAGACUAAAAUGGGUUAAGAACUCUUAAUCUCCAUUGUUGAAAUUGAGAAGGGCCGACUUCAUUAUAAAGGAGCUUCGUUUCCAGAGGAUUUAUUAAGAGAGGUACUACUGUACUUUGAUUUUAAUGAGGACCCAUAGACUCCAGUUUGGUAAACAUUGUUCUUUUAUUAUUAUUAUUAUUAUCAUCCUGACUAGAUUACAAUGAGCUAUAUACACGUCUUUUUUCAUGAAU
rnacentral:misc_RNA from 1 species